rnacentral:rRNA from 1 species
AUGAAACACUCCUACGGGAGGCAGCAGUGGGGAAUAUUGCACAAUGGGCGAAAGCCUGAUGCAGCGACGCCGCGUGAGGGAUGACGGCCUUCGGGUUGUAAACCUCUUUCAGCAGGGAAGAAGCGAAAGUGACGGUACCUGCAGAAGAAGCACCGGCUAACUACGUGCCAGCAGCCGCGGUAAUACGUAGGGUGCGAGCGUUGUCCGGAAUUAUUGGGCGUAAAGAGCUUGUAGGCGGUUUGUCGCGUCUGCUGUGAAAAUCCGGGGCUCAACCCCGGACUUGCAGUGGGUACGGGCAGACUAGAGUGUGGUAGGGGAGACUGGAAUUCCUGGUGUAGCGGUGAAAUGCGCAGAUAUCAGGAGGAACACCGAUGGCGAAGGCAGGUCUCUGGGCCACUACUGACGCUGAGAAGCGAAAGCAUGGGGAGCGAACAGGAUUAGAAACCCUAGUAGUCCGAAGUUC